rnacentral:rRNA from 1 species
GACGAACGCUGGCGGCGUGCUUAACACAUGCAAGUCGAACGGAAAGGCCCUGCUUUUGUGGGGUGCUCGAGUGGCGAACGGGUGAGUAACACGUGAGUAACCUUCCCUUGACUUUGGGAUAACUUCAGGAAACUGGGGCUAAUACCGGAUAGGAGCUCCUGCUGCAUGGUGGGGGUGGGAAAGUUUCGGCGGUUGGGGAUGGACUCGCGGCUUAUCAGCUCGUUGGUGGGGUAGUGGCUUACCAAGGCUUUGACGGGUAGCCGGCCUGAGAGGGUGACCGGCCACAUUGGGACUGAGAUACGGCCCAGACUCCUACGGGAGGCAGCAGUGGGGAAUAUUGCACAAUGGGCGGAAGCCUGAUGCAGCAACGCCGCGUGCGGGAUGACGGCCUUCGGGUUGUAAACCGCUUUCGCCUGUGACGAAGCGUGAGUGACGGUAAUGGGUAAAGAAGCACCGGCUAACUACGUG